rnacentral:rRNA from 1 species
UACGAAGGGGGCUAGCGUUGCUCGGAAUUACUGGGCGUAAAGGGCGCGUAAGCGGACAGUUUAGUCAGAGGUGAAAGCCCAGGGCUCAACCUUGGAAUUGCCUUUGAUACUGGCGAUCUUGAGUCCGGGAGAGGUGAGUGGAACUCCGAGUGUAGAGGUGAAAUUCGUAGAUAUUCGGAAGAACACCAGUGGCGAAGGCGGCUCACUGGCCCGGUACUGACGCUGAUGUGCGAAAGCGUGGGGAGCAAACAGG